UGACGUAACUUCCGACGUUUAUCGAAACGAUGAUGGCGACCUCCAUCGGCCGUGGUCCGUGACAGUACGACCCGUUCUAUUCAAACAGAAAUACGUGGUUAUCGCUGUACACGUAAGCCUUAAAUGACAAGUUGUUUUCUACGCAUCUGUCGACUUUUUUUUCUAGGGGUAAGGCGGGUUUUUGUGCAUCACGUCUCAUACACUUUCAUGCUUCCAGCCAGCAAAUCUCUCGCGAGGUGACAGACAUCAUGAUCCCAGACUCUCUCUCAGAGAUUAACAUUAUAAAACAGGGUUUCCUUUUGUCCAUAAGGAGACACUUGCAUAACAAUCAAUCAGUUUAAUAGUUUUAAUAAAUGUUAUCUGCACAAACUCACCUCGCGACUGUGUCCAAAAGCAACACAGAAGUUCAGGCACCACAUUCAAAGCAGUGGCCAGCAGCUGGAGGCAGUUGCUGUGGAAACCGCAUCAGCUGAACCGAAUCUGCUGUCAGUCUUCAGAACUUCACAGCAAGAUCCAACGUACCAUUCAGAAAGACAUACUGGGCGGUAUUACAAGCUCCCCCCGGCUCACAUCCAAAAACUCUUCCCUUAUGGACUGCCUCCUGAUGCACAUACCUGAUGCUCAUCUGCAGGUUAAGAACUGUAAAGAGCUGGUACCAUCUUCUUCCCGCCCCUCACGCUUCGACCAGCCAAUCCAAGCAUCCCAAUGGCUGAAGAACUUCAAAAUCACUCGCUGUGCGAAAGCUGAGGCUGCAGGCAGGGGGCGCCAUAGAGGACGAGGGGGCCUUUAAACUGGCUGUAGCUGUGGAUGGAGUAAAUGCUCUGUGGGGCAAAAAAUCUCUCCGAAAGGAGGACAGAACUAUGUGUGAGAGCCAGAGGAACUGACUUUGAUUCAUAAUCUGAGGAAGAUGAUGAAAAACAACUGGCUGCCCAGACGCACCCCACGAUCCAGCGAAUUUCCACCCAGAACAUGCCUCUGUUGCAAACAGGAAGUAGAACCAGAAGUCGGUUGUCAUCAAGGAUCAUGAGGCGAGUUUGGAGAGAGAAUGAAGAAUGGAGUCCUAGACCCAGAUCCAGGGCAAUCCACACACACUGUGUCUCCGGACUCCGGAGGAAAACCCAAAGCCUGAAAACUGUAAUUUGUCAAUUAAAAGGAUAAAGCUCUUAUAAAGCAUUCAUGUUAUUUUAUGUUAAAUUACUCUAACCAGGAGGCGCUAUUCUGCCUUCAAAAAUUGGGUUUUAAAAGCCUAGUCUCUAUUUUAAUCUGAAAUACUGCAUUAAUUGAAAAGUAAUUGUAAAAAAAGUAGAUUUUUUUAAAAUUAUUUUCAAUGGGAAAAAAUUAUCAUAAUGCAUAAAUAUUAAUUAGUACCAUGAGAUUCAAAAGAAAAAAUAUAACUGAAUAAAAAUAUAUCAGAUUGAUUUUACUGAAAAAAAAAAAGUUAAAUUUCAGGUGUCACAACUUUCACUUAAAAAAAAUGCUUUCUAAAGCUUAAGUUUGCUAUUAAAUAUAGCUUUCACUAGCAUAUGUGUUUACUGCUAAACAGCUAUUACUGUUAAGUGCUAACAUUUGCAAGCAUGCGCAUUACUUUUUUCCAGUAUACUUGGGUUGUGUGUAAAAUUACACAUUGAUUUAUAAAUCUGUUAUAUAAUCCAAAUACAGCAUUCUUCUAUACAAUAUGCAAAACUAUCUAGUAGCCUCUAGCCUCUCACUGCAGAAGACAAGAUCUAGGGGUGGAGAUUGGUAGGUUUAGGAGGCGGAGAUGGGUGGGUUUAGGAAUUGGGGGUGGAGACAGAUAGGUUUAGGUAUAUGUAAUGUGGGAGGAGUUGGAUCUGGAUCCAACCACGCCCCCCGGAUUUAUGUUUUGCAGUGAGGACCAUCUCAUCUUUUUGUACCUGACAGCAAGUUCCUGUGGGAGGAGUCACAUAGAGUGGGCAUGGCCUUGGAAAUUUACAUCUAUAUCAGACCUGAUGCCUCAGCUGUGUAAAUGGUUAUCAACAGGUAAGAGUAUGUGAUAAUUACAUUUAAAAUGACUGCAGCAACCACAACUACAAAUAAAUAAUUUCACUCAAGUCAAUGGUGGUUUAUAAUCUAUACAUCUCGCUUGAUAAAUCUUAAAAGUAAGCUGUUUGGGAACAUGCUAGGAUUUGGCAGUCAGAAGACGAUUUAUGAGUCAAUUAUUAAUUUGAAAUGCAAUGAAAAUUGUGAUCGAGUCAUGUUUUAACAAAUAAUGCCAACAUUGCUGGAAAAACUUGAUGUAUAAGACACUAAGAAUUAAAAAGACACAAUAAAUGCAACUUUUCACAGACAUCUCUUCUGAGAAUGCAUAUUUAUGGCAACAAAAAUCCGUAGGAAGUUCUGAAUGCAUUUGUGGUUCAUCUGUGCCAUAAGAUGUCAACAUGUCUCCUGGUUUUUAUUCAGUUUUAUUAUUAAUACAUCAUGGUCAUACACAUCAUAUAAUAUAUAUUUAUAUACUUUAAUAUUUAGCAAUUCAUCAUCAUUUUUUUUUGUUUUUCAUCUUCCUUAAAUGAGUUUUCCAACUAAAAUUAUUUACAUUCGAAGAAACUGUAAUAGAAAUGAGUGAACAGAACUAAAUCAAAUUCAACUGAAUGACAUUGAUAGGUUUGUGAUAUAUAUACACACCAGAGUUGGAAUCAAAAAGGACAGAAAGACAAAACUUCAUGAUCUCCUGAACAAAAGGGAUGCGAGAACAACAAAAAACCUGGGGAAGUAAAGCAACUUUCAUGAACCGUAAAGACACGGCACCCCCAUCCCAAUGAGAAUUCACAUUGAACGAUAAAAAACGCUAUCUGGGGAGUACAGCUCGUCUCUGGGAAACUGAACACUGUACCAUCUAAAUGUGGGGUGGGAGUUGUGCUGCUAUAGCAACAAUGCGUCCGAGCCAAUCCGCAUCUUGCUCUGUUAGUUUGUUUGUUUGUUCACUCAGGGUAGGAAUAAGGGAAGGGUAUACUAUACAAAAUUCUGUGUGGAAAACUGUGGAGGGGGUCAAAGACAUCUGAAAGACACAGAAACAUUAGGACAGACAAAAAUGAGAAGGACUGUGUUAGAGAACAGAGGUAUACAAACCAUAGUAAAAUAUACCAACAUGAACACAAAUGAUAGACAAAAAAAGCAAA